GGAGGUCUAAAAAAAAUCUGGGCAGUUAAUUGGAAAGGGCACAGUUUCAGUGGGAGACAAAGGAGUUCCCUUUGCUAUUUAGUAUCCUAGGCCUAAAGGAGGCUGACUGCCCUUGCAGAACAGCAACAUACAACUGAGAGUAGUAGGUAAAGCCAAGAAGUGAAAAUGUUCAUCUCAUCUCAGAUUUCUUUGUACAUUUAUGUUUGUAUCUGUUGCGAUUAUCCUCUGGAUUUUCUGUCCCCUCAAAAUACUCUCCCUAUCCCCAGAAAAUAGAUGACAAGAAACAAGAGCAGAGAGCAUCAUUUGUGGUGGCUGAAGCACCGAGUCCUUCUGUAGAAGGAGCAAGCCAGCCCCAGUUAGAAGAGCUCAGUUAUCAAGCCUUGAUGUCUGCUGGCACAGGUGGUCAUGAAGCUGUCAAAGGUGGAACUAAAUACAACCAGCAGAGAGAAGCUUAGAGGAUGAACUGACCUUGUACAAACUUAGCAAACAUCAGCAAUCUUCUGCCAGAUGUGUGCUUCAUUAUUUAAGUGAUACUGCACUGUCAGACUCCUUUUGAAAUGAAGUGGACAUGCCAAUCCAACGUCUGGUCCUCAAAUCCUUAGCUACUGCAAGAGACUCCAUACAGACUAGCAGAAGACUCCAAAAGACUAACAGAGAAGCUGUCAGCAAUGUUCAGUGUAAAAUGGAAACUUAUGGAAGUCCCAG
rnacentral:lncRNA from 1 species